GUAGUCACCCGGGUUGCCGCAAGGCCUCUCGGGUAACCUACCACCCUUUGUUUAUUACACUUUGUUGCUUUGGCAAGCCUGCCCUCGGGCUGCUGGCUCCGGCCGGCGAGCGCUUGCCAGAGGACCAAACUCUGUCAUUUAUGUCGUCUGAUUACUAUUUAAUAGUUAAAACUUUCAACAACGGAUCUCUUGGUUCU
rnacentral:misc_RNA from 1 species